UCCUACGGGACGCAGCAGUAGGGAAUCUUCCACAAUGGACGAAAGUCUGAUGGAGCAACGCCGCGUGAGUGAAGAAGGGUUUCGGCUCGUAAAGCUCUGUUGGUAGUGAAGAAAGAUAGAGGUAGUAACUUGCCUUUAUUUGACGGUAAUUACUUAGAAAGUCACGGCUAACUGCGUGCCAGCAGCCGCGGUAAUACGUAGGUGGCAAGCGUUUUCCGGAUUUAUUGGGCGUAAAGCGAGUGCAGGCGGUUCCAUUAGUCUUAU
rnacentral:rRNA from 1 species